GACAGAGGUGCCGAGCGUUAGGCGGAAUCACUGGGCUUAAAGCGUGUGUAGGCGGACUUCUAAGUACCUUGUGAAAUCCCACGGCUCAACCGUGGAACUGCUCGGUAUACUGGUCGUCUUGAGCCACCUAGGGGCGAGCGGAACAAGCGGUGGAGCGGUGAAAUGCGUAGAUAUCGCUUGGAACGCCAACGGUGAAAACAGCUCGCUGGGGGUGUGCUGACGCUGAGACAUGAAAGCCAGGGGAGCGAACGGG
rnacentral:rRNA from 1 species